AGUGGCGGACGGGUGAGUAACGCGUGGGUAACCUACCUCACACAGGGGGAUAACAGUUGGAAACGGCUGCUAAUACCGCAUAAGCGCACAGUACCGCAUGGUACAGUGUGAAAAACUCCGGUGGUGUGAGAUGGACCCGCGUCUGAUUAGCUAGUUGGCAGGGCAACGGCCUACCAAGGCGACGAUCAGUAGCCGACCUGAGAGGGUGACCGGCCACAUUGGGACUGAGACACGGCCCAAACUCCUACGGGAGGCAGCAUG
rnacentral:rRNA from 1 species